GAGGAAAAGAAACCAACAGGGAUUCCCUUAGUAACGGCGAGUGAACCGGGAAAAGCUCAAAUUUGAAAUCUGCCAACAGGCCGAGUUGUAAUUUGUAGAUGGCUACACUGCAUAAUAGUAGAUGCUCAAGUUCUUUGGAAAAAGACAUCAUGGAGGGUGACAAUCCCGUGAGGCAUGUUACUAGGAGCAUAUAGUGGGCUUUCUAAGAGUCGAGUUGUUUGGGAAUGCAGCUCAAAGUGCGUGGUGAAUACCAUGUAAAGCUAAAUAUGGACGAGAGACCGAUAGCGAACAAGUACUGUGAAGGAAAGAUGAAAAGCACUCCGAAAGGAGAGUGAAAUAGUACGUGAAAUUGUUAAAGUGGAAGGGCUUGAGAUCAGAAUUGGUAGUUUGGGUUCCACGUCCUCUUGGGGGCGUGUACUCCCUUUCCACCGGGCCAGCGGGAGUUUCGUCUCUUGGGUAAAAGCAGUGGAAUGUAGCAGCUUGUCUGUAUUAUAGCCUCUGUUCAUACAAGACGUCGAGACUUGAUUUGUUGGCGUAAUGAUCUCUAGCCACC
rnacentral:rRNA from 1 species